rnacentral:rRNA from 1 species
GAUGAACGCUGGCGGCGUGCUUAACACAUGCAAGUCGAACGGAAAGGCCCUGCGUUUGUGGGGUUCUCGAUUGGCGAAGGGGGGAGUAUCACGUGAGUAUCCUGCCCUUGUCUUUGGGGUAACUUCAGGAAACUGGGGCUAAUAUCGGAUAGGAUAUCCUGCAGCGUGGUGGGGGUUGGAAAGUUCCGGCGGUUGUGGAUGGACUCGCGGGUUAUCAGCUUGUUGGUGGGGUAGUGGCUUACCAAGGCUUUGACGGGUAGCCCGCCUGGGAGGGUGGACGGCCACAUGAGGCCUGCGAUACGGAGCAGAAUCCUACGUGAGGCAGCAGUGGGAAAUAUUGCACAAUGAGCGGAAGCCUGAGACAGCAACGCUGGGUGCGUGAUGACGGCCUUCGGGUUAUAAACCGCUUUCGCCUGUGACGAAGCGUGAGUGACGGUAACGGGUAAAGAAGCACCGGCUAACUACGUG